GCUUCCUUGGUUUAAUGAAUAGAACGUUCGGCUACGGACCGGAAGAUGUGGGUUUGAUUCCUGCAGGAAGUACCA
rnacentral:tRNA from 1 species